UACCAGUUGAAUACGUUCCCGGGUCUUGUACACACCGCCCGCCACACCACGAAAGUCGCCAACACCCGAAUGUCGCUUUUGCGACCCUAAGGUGGGGGUGGUAAUUGGGGUG
rnacentral:rRNA from 1 species